ensembl:lncRNA
CUGAGAAGUAAAUGCAAAGUUAUUUAAUCUUAUUUUAAGAUGCUGUUUAUUCUUUUUACCUACUUUUUUUUUUGCUUCAAGAGAUGAAUCCACACCUAUAGUAUAAAGAAAUGGUUGGUGUAUUUUUAUUGAGCAAAGUUGUUACAUUAUGCAGCUAGGUAUCGUACUCAGUGUUAAGUUUGGCCAUCGGCAUAUUGUGCUUUUAUUAUAUUCAUCUGCUGUCCUACUCGAUGCAGGAAGGCUCUCUACUUAAACACAACUAACUGCACUGUGCUGUAGAAGAGACACUUGUAACCAAAGUAAGGCGGGCAAGAGCUCCAUAUUGAGGAAGUAUUUUCAACGCAUACAUUAAUUCAAGAUGGCCUUUCCAAAAACCUCGAUGGCAACUAAAUAGCUCAAUUGAACUGAAUCUUGGACUAUGGUGGGAAGGGGCAAGGGUGGUCUGUGUUCACACCACUGAUUUCCAAAUACAUUUGCAAAGUAUAAUAUUAUUCUCCAAGAGUGUUAUAGGGAAUACAAGGGUUUAGAACUUUUGAUUUCACAGACAGAUGUAUCACACGACGAACAAAAUGGAACACAGCUUGUUUUGAACAUUUGAUGGGGGGGCGCACAUCCUACCAAAUAAUAGAUUAAUUUCUAACUUUUAUUUUUAUUUUUUUAUCUUCAUCUGCAUACAUUUUUCACAGCUUGUAAGUUGGGGUUUGUUUGUUUACUGACACCCACCGUUUUAAGAUUCGCUUUGGGAUGUUGUGAGUAGGGAAUUUGAGUGUAUGUGUGUGUGCAUUUUCUGGUGUCUGUAAUAUCUUUCUUUUUUUGAGGGGGGGGUUAUGUGGAUGGCAAACACUUUUGCCUUGUUUGCCCACACUUAGUUUUAACAACUAUAUUAAGACAAUUUACAGUUUUUUUCUUAUAUACAUUCACGUAUAUACAUUCAAGUGUGUGUGUGUGUGUGUGUAUAUAUAUGUUUAUCCAAAUGAAGUACAUAAUCAGUUCUUGGGGUGUAUUGAAAUGUUUACCAUACUCUCUUAAGGCAGUCAAAAUGAAGUGGGUAUAUUUUAUUUUUCACUAUGACUUCUACUAAGCAUGACCACAUCCACGGGUGCAGCUCACCUUGCCUGUGAAAACAACAGUGGUAGCCAUACACUUAACACAGGCUUGUAUGAGCCCUGCAUCCUUCCCUAACACUUACUGUUGAUGUGCUCAUAUUGUAUGUACCCAUGUUUAAAGAAAAAAAUAGUGUAUUCUUGAAAACCUCAAAGAUUGUACUAUAUUUCCAGCAUCACACCAAGGUACCUGGAGUGGUUAAAGCUGUUCUAUAAUUUAUGGUUUAUUAAUGGAACCGUAUUAUACACACAUGUAUGUAUAUUGGUAUGUAUCUAAGUUUGUGUCUACCCCAACUUACAGUCCCACAAACUAAUGUUGCCAUUUCUUAAGUUCAAGGGAGCAAUGUACAAGCAGAGGAGUGUCUUAUUAUAAUAAAAUUAUACAGAGAAAGUUAAAUAAACUUUUUGUUUUAAUGGAAAAUCUGGUUUUGUUUUGAUUUUAUUAUGAAUUGCCACACCCUGUAAAGAAGAGGUGGACACAAAUUAAAUCUAUUAUUUUAACCACCUGGGCAAUGAUAGGUGGUUCUCUGC